AACCCAAAUUAAUAAAUACGCGGCGUAAAAAGUGUUUUAGGAAAGAUCAAAAAUAAGACUAAACUUCAUCUAAGUCGUAAAAAACUUCAGAUAAAUUUAAACUCACAAACGAAAGUAGUCUUAAUCUACCUGAGCACACGAAAGCUAGGACACAAACUGGGAUUAGAUACCCCACUAUGCCUAACCAUAAACAUAAAAAUUUUUCAACAAAAAUUUUUGCCAGAGAACUACUAGCAACAGCUUAAAACUCAAAGGACUUGACGGUGCUUACAUCCACCUAGAGGAGCCUGUUCUGUAAUCGAUAAACCCCGAUCUACCUCACCGUUUCUUGCUAAUC
rnacentral:rRNA from 1 species